AUCACUUCUUAACCUUUUGGCUAAGAUCAAGUGUAGUAUC
rnacentral:snRNA from 1 species